rnacentral:rRNA from 1 species
UNCCAUAUAAAGUAUUUAUGGUAGUGCCUGCUCUAUGUAUUAAAAUAUAAAUGGCCGCAGUAUCUUGACUGUGCAAAGGUAGCAUAAUUAAUUGCCUUAUAAUUGAAGGCUUGUCUGAAUGGUUUGACGUGGUAACUAUAAAUAUUUAUUUUUUUAUUGAAAUUGAUUAGGAGGGCACAGAAUCCUUCUUUUUUAAUUAGACGGAAAGACCCCAGGAUCUUUUAUUUUUGUCUGGGGCAGAUGAAAAUCUUUUAUUUUUAUUUUGACCCUCUUUGGUUCAGUGAGUUAAGUUACCCUGGGGAUAACAGUGUAAUAGUUUAUAAGAGGCCUUAUCGAAUAAACUGUUUGCUACCUCGAUGUUGACUUAGGUAAAUAAGCUGGGCGCAGUAGUCUAGCUUUUUGGUCUGUUCGACCUAAAAUACCUCC